rnacentral:lncRNA from 1 species
UCUGAGCUGGCAUCGAAAAUUCAGUUCUGUUUUAGGCGUUUUUUUUCUUGAAGCAUAGAAAACACAUAUGUGGAAAUAAUAAAGACUUCUGUUUUGUCACAUUAGCAUUUGUGUUUGUUACAAGUCUGUCUUGUUUUUUUUUUUUUUCUUUCCUUUUUCCUUCUUUAAGACGCGUGGCGUGUAGUCCCCUCCCUUUCGUUAAAUAGGGGACCAACCACCACUCAAAUAUCCUCAUCAAUUAAGUAUUCAA